rnacentral:rRNA from 1 species
GAUGAACGCUGGCGGCGUGCUUAACACAUGCAAGUCGAACGGAAAGGCCCAAGCUUGCUUGGGUACUCGAGUGGCGAACGGGUGAGUAACACGUGGGUAAUCUGCCCUUCACUUAGGGAUAAGCCUGGGAAACUGGGGCUAAUACCGGAUAGGAUCUCUUGUUGCAUGGUGUGGUGGAGAGAUUUGCGGUGUGGGAUGAGCUCGCGGCUUAUCAGCUGGUUGGUGGGGUAGUGGCCUACCAAGGCGUCGACGGGUAGCCGGCCUGAGAGGGUGAACGGCCACAUUGGGACUGAGAUACGGCCCAGACUCCUACGGGAGGCAGCAGUGGGGAAUAUUGCACAAUGGGCGCAAGCCUGAUGCAGCGACGCCGCGUGGGGGAUGACGGCCUUCGGGUUGUAAACUCCUUUCGCUGGGGACGAAGCGCAAGUGACGGUACCUGGUGAAGAAGCACCGGCUAACUACGUG